rnacentral:rRNA from 1 species
UGAGUGUACCUUUCGAAUAAGCACCGGCUAACUACGUGCCAGCAGCCGCGGUAAUACGUAGGGUGCAAGCGUUAUCCGGAAUUAUUGGGCGUAAAGGGCUCGUAGGCGGUUCGUCGCGUCCGGUGUGAAAGUCCAUCGCUUAACGGUGGAUCCGCGCCGGGUACGGGCGGGCUUGAGUGCGGUAGGGGAGACUGGAAUUCCCGGUGUAACGGUGGAAUGUGUAGAUAUCGGGAAGAACACCAAUGGCGAAGGCAGGUCUCUGGGCCGUUACUGACGCUGAGGAGCGAAAGCGUGGGGAGCGAACAGGAUUAGAUACCCUGGUAGUCCACGCCGUAAACGGUGGAUGCUGGAUGUGGGGCCCGUUCCACGGGUUCCGUGUCGGAGCUAACGCGUUAAGCAUCCCGCCUGGGGAGUACGGCCGCAAGGCUAAAACUCAAAGAAAUUGACGGGGGCCCGCACAAGCGGCGGAGCAUGCGGAUUAAUUCGAUGCAACGCGAAGAACCUUACCUGGGCUUGACAUGUUCCCGACGAUCCCAGAGAUGGGGUUUCCCUUCGGGGCGGGUUCACAGGUGGUGCAUGGUCGUCGUCAGCUCGUGUCGUGAGAUGUUGGGUUAAGUCCCGCAACGAGCGCAACCCUCGCCCCGUGUUGCCAGCGGAUUGUGCCGGGAACUCACGGGGGACCGCCGGGGUUAACUCGGAGGAAGGUGGGGAUGACGUCAGAUCAUCAUGCCCCUUACGUCCAGGGCUUCACGCAUGCUACAAUGGCCGGUACAACGGGAUGCGACAGUGCGAGCUGGAGCGGAUCCCUGAAAACCGGUCUCAGUUCGGAUCGCAGUCUGCAACUCGACUGCGUGAAGGCGGAGUCGCUAGUAAUCGCGAAUCAGCAACGUCGCGGUGAAUGCGUUCCCGGGCCUUGUACACACCGCCCGUCAAGUCAUG